rnacentral:rRNA from 1 species
AGGGUUUGAUUAUGGCUCAGAUUGAACGCUGGCGGCAGGCCUAACACAUGCAAGUCGAGCGCGAAAGCACUUCGGUGUGAGUAGAGCGGCGGACGGGUGAGUAACGCGUAGGAAUCUACCUAGUAGUGGGGGACAACUCGGGGAAACUCGAGCUAAUACCGCAUAAGCCCUACGGGGGAAAGCGGGGGACCUUCGGGCCUCGUGCUAUUAGAUGAGCCUGCGUUGGAUUAGCUAGUUGGUGGGGUAAAGGCCUACCAAGGCGACGAUCCAUAGCUGGUCUGAGAGGAUGAUCAGCCACACCGGGACUGAGACACGGCCCGGACUCCUACGGGAGGCAGCAGUGGGGAAUAUUGCGCAAUGGGCGAAAGCCUGACGCAGCCAUGCCGCGUGUGUGAAGAAGGCCUUCGGGUUGUAAAGCACUUUCAAUUGGGAGGAAAGGUUCACGGUUAAUAACCGUGAGCUGUGACGUUACCUUUAGAAGAAGCACCGGCUAACUCCGUGCCAGCCGCCGCGGUA